GACGAACGCUGGCGGCGUGCUUAACACAUGCAAGUCGAACGGAGUGGCGAACGGGUGAGUAACACGUGGGUGACCUGCCCUGCACUUCGGGAUAAGCCUGGGAAACUGGGUCUAAUACCGGAUAGUGUGGGAUGGGCCCGCGGCCUAUCAGCUUGUUGGUGGGGUAAGGGCCUACCACGGCGGCGACGGGUAGCCGGCCUGAGAGGGUGGAAGGCCAAAUUGGGGCUGGGGCACGGCUCAGACUUCGACGGGGGGCAGCAGUGGGGAAUAUUGCACAAUGGGCGGAAGUCUGAUGCAGCGACGCCGCGUGGGGGAUGACGGCCUUCGGGUUGGAAACUCCUUUCACCAGCGACGCGGUAGAUGGAGAAGAAGCACCGGCUAACUACGUGCCAGCAGCCGCGGUAAUUC
rnacentral:rRNA from 1 species